GUACAUUCCCAUUUGCUAUAACCAAUUCAGUGAUAUGAAAUGGUUAUAGUACCUACCGUGUCCCUUAGAGUAAAGAGAGGAAAGCAAACAAAAGAAUAUGCAGGAAAAAGUAAAAUUCACAUCCAUCACCAUGGAACCAGAGUGUUGGAAGAUCUACAAAUAUAUAAAUAAAAUGAGAAGGCAUGUAAUAUUGAAAAAGGCUAGAGAGGUAACUCACCAGGCUGGGUAUAUAAACUGACUUUUAUAUGUUAACUUCUCAAUAUGCUAGUUAAUGUGCUUUAUUUGUAUUAACC